AUGGCCUGCAAUAGAGCUCCUGGACCGAAUAACAUCCCGAUAGAAUUCUAUAUACACUAUUGGGAUUUUGUUAAAAAUGACAUAAUGCGCCUAUUUGAGGCAUUCCAUAGUAAUUCUGAUGAUGUAGCCAACCUGAACUACAGGGUUAUCACGUCAAUUCUUAAAAUGAAUGUGGCUAAAAAAAUUCAGCAGUACCGCCCCAUCUACCUCUUACGGUGCCCAUACAAACUAAUAACUAAAGUGUUGGAUAAGCGUGUAACUAUCUUUGCUGAUAAGCUGAUUAGUAUUCACCAGAAUGCUUUCAUCAAACAUAGAAACAUCAUGGACGAAAUCCUCACACGGAUGAGGUAUUGCAUCAUACCCACCAUAAGAAAAAAGUUGGGAUUGUCCUGA
rnacentral:rRNA from 1 species